CUUGGGCUUUGCCGGGGCGGGGGCCAGAGGAGGAGGAGGAGGAGGAGAGGAUGAUUUUUGGAGCCUGAGAAUUGAUUUAUGUUGGAUCAGCUGCCUGCUGUUUCCCGGGGAGAUCAUGAAACGAGGUCGCCUUCCCAGCAGCAGUGAGGAUUCUGACGACAAUGGCAGCCUGUCCACCACUUGGUCUCAGAAUUCCCGGUCCCAGCACAGGAGAGGUUCCUGCUCCAGACAUGAAGAUCGGAAGCCUUCCGAGGUGUUUAGGACAGACCUGAUCACCGCCAUGAAGCUACAUGACUCCUACCAGCUGAACCCCGAUGAGUACUACGUGUUGGCAGAUCCCUGGAGACAGGAGUGGGAGAAGGGGGUGCAGGUGCCAGUCAGCCCUGGGACCAUCCCUCAGCCUGUGGCCAGGGUCGUGUCGGAAGAGAAGUCACUCAUGUUCAUCAGGCCCAAGAAAUACAUCGUCUCUUCAGGCUCCGAGCCCCCGGAGCUGGGCUACGUGGACAUCCGUGCGCUGGCCGAUGGCGUGUGUCGGUACGACCUCAAUGACAUGGACGCAGCAUGGCUGGAGCUGACCAACGAGGAGUUCAAGGAGAUGGGCAUGCCGGAGCUGGACGAGGGCACCAUGGAGAGGGUCCUGGAGGAGUUUGAGCAGCGCUGCUCCGACAACAUGAACCACGCCAUCGAGACGGAAGAGGGCCUGGGCAUCGAGUACGACGAGGACGUCGUGUGUGACGUCUGCCAGUCGCCCGACGGUGAGGACGGCAACGAGAUGGUGUUCUGUGACAAAUGCAACAUCUGCGUGCACCAGGCCUGCUAUGGAAUCCUCAAGGUCCCCGAGGGCAGCUGGCUGUGCCGGACGUGUGCCCUGGGGGUGCAGCCCAAGUGCUUGCUGUGCCCCAAGAAAGGCGGAGCCAUGAAGCCCACCCGCAGCGGGACCAAGUGGGUCCACGUCAGCUGUGCUCUGUGGAUCCCCGAGGUGAGCAUUGGCAGCCCCGAGAAAAUGGAGCCCAUCACGAAGGUGUCUCACAUCCCCAGCAGUCGGUGGGCGCUGGUGUGCAGCCUCUGCAACGAGAAGUUUGGGGCCUCCAUACAGUGCUCCGUGAAGAACUGCCGCACGGCCUUCCACGUGACCUGCGCUUUCGACCGGGGCCUGGAGAUGAAGACCAUCUUGGCGGAGAACGAUGAGGUCAAGUUCAAGUCCUACUGCCCGAAGCACAGCUCCCACAGGAAAGCCGAGGGGAGCCUCGCGGCGGGGGCCGCCCAGGAGAACGGGGGGCCCGAGUGCUCCCCCCGGAGCCCGCUGGAGCCCUUCGCCAGCCUGGAGCAGAAGCAGGAGGAGGCCCACCGGGUGAGUGUCCGGAAGCAGAAGCUGCAGCAGCUGGAAGACGCCUUCUACACCUUCGUCAACCUGCUGGACGUCGCCAGGGCCCUGCGGCUGCCGGAGGAAGUGGUGGACUUCCUGUACCAGUACUGGAAGCUGAAGAGGAAGGUCAACUUCAACAAGCCCCUCAUCACCCCAAAGAGAGACGAAGAGGACAAUCUAGCGAAGCGGGAGCAGGAUGUCUUGUUUAGGAGGCUGCAGCUGUUCACGCACCUGCGGCAGGACCUGGAGAGGGUUCGGAACCUCACUUACAUGGUGACCCGCAGGGAAAAGAUUAAGCGAUCUGUGUGCAAAGUCCAGGAACAGAUAUUCAAUCUUUACACUAAGCUCUUGGAGCAAGAAAGAGUUUCAGGUGUGCCUUCGUCCUGCUCCGCCGCCUCCCUGGAAAGCGUGCUUCUGUUCAACAGCCCCUCGGUGGGCCCCGACGCCCCCAGGAUCGAGGACCUGAAGUGGCACUCGGCCUUCUUCCGGAAGCAGAUGGGCACCUCCCUGGGUCGCUCCCUGAAGAAGCCGCAUCCGCGAGCCCUCCUGCAGGGCAGCCCGGGGCGCGGGGCCCAGGCCCUGCACCGGGAGGCGGCGGGGCUCCCCGAGAGCUUGCGGAGCUUGGACAAGACCUUGGCCGACGCCCGCCUCCUGUCCGCGCAGCAGAGAAAUGGCGCGAUGGUGCCGGACCCCGGGAGCAGGAGGGACCACCGCUUCCAUUGUGACCCCGGGAAGGGGGACGGGAAGGACAGGCCUUUCAAACAGAGUCACAAGCCUCUCAGGUCCACGGACGUGUCCCAGCGGCAUCUGGACCCCGCGAGGGCCGCCGCCUCCCCUGCCGGGGGGCAGUCGGCGCCGGGUGCGAGGAGAGAGGGGUUGCCCAGGUGCAAUGGCUCGCCUGGGCCGCGGGCCCGCCAAGGAGAGGGCGAAGAGCAAACUGAAGUCCGACACCGAGAGUGACGGCUACGCCCCCGACGUGGAGAUGAGCGACUCGGAGAGCGAGGCCUCGGAGAAGAAGUGCAUCCCCGCGGGCAGCGCCAUGGGCCGGAGGACAGACUUCAUCCGCAGGAGCAUCCUGGCCUCCUGAUGCGCCCGGCGCGGCCAGCAGACAGCACCUGAGCCAGGCACACACUUACUCGCCCUUAGGAUGGAUUUUUCUCAGUCAUUUAUACAUCGUGAGAAGUGUGUGUUAUUUGCAACUUGUUGAGGAAACACAAGAGUAGGUUGUAAGCGCACUACAGAAGCGGAAUUAAACACUAAGCAUGAAUGAGGUGCGUUUUUGAAGAGGGAGAGGCUUACAGAAACCUCGCGAGUUUUUAUUGCUCUGUAUUCUUCCCAAAGCACAAACUCUUGGUUCCCCGAAUACACGGGACCAGAUAUGGUUCUAGACACCCUCACGUACCUUUUACUAGCCCCUGACUGACUGUCCAGGACGGUGGUGGGUUGGAAACCAUGUUCACCGUGGGCCCCAGGCUGUUCUUGUUGCAUUGCAGUCUGUAGGCAGCAGCUCGGGCUUAAGGAACUCAAGGGGACUUGUGUGUAAAUGUCCCAGUGGGAGGAGAGAAGUGUUGAGGGUCACCCCUGGAGGACCUGAAGCGGGGGCAGCUGGAAUGUAAGGGAAUGUGGCUCCUCAGCCUGCAGCCCUGGGAGGGGGAGGGGAGAGGACUGGUGCAGAGCGAGGUCACUGGGAAGUCUGUCUGUGAGAGAGGGCAGCUGAGGCCCCACUGACCAGUCCUCUUGACACCCCCUUCCCUAACUGCUGCCUGUGGGCCAGCGGGGGCGGGGGUCCCUAGCCAUUGGCAGUCCCUGAUCAGCUGGCCUGCAACAAUACAGUAGUCAUUCAGGUUCGAGCGAUGACCUUCCAGACUCGGCUGACUCACACUUCCCAGGGCUCCCAACUGGAACAGAUUCCUUAAGAACAAGGAAAAAAGGAAAAGAAAAAAAAAAAACCCAAACCCCAAACAAAACACACACACGUGAAAUAGGCUAUAUUUUAGAAAAAAUAGAAAGGCAAUAAGUUGCGAUAACCUCUUACCAUUGACCAAUUUCUACAGGAAAGAGUUUUAAGUGUAGUAGGUUUUCUGGAGUCAGUUCUAGGCUCUGAUUGGUAACUGGGACUUUCUAAUUGCAAAUGGCAAUAACUCGUAAGUUCUCAGCAAUAAUAAAUUUAGCAUUAAUUUGAGUACACUGUUCUGUUUCUGCACUGGCUGCAGUGCAUAUGUGUUAAGACAGUAGUGUUAAGGUCCUGUUCAUUUUCUUUGGAAUUCAAUGUAGUUGUGCAUCAAACUUAAGAGAAGGAAGGUUUAAAUAGCAAUGAGACUUAGAAUUAUGGGCACUUGGAACAAGCCCAGCUUCCCCUAAAUUGCCCCUUAGUUGGCUGGUAUCAGUAUUCAGAUUCCUGGUUCAUUUAUACGUCUGCUUCCAUGUGGCAGGGACAUUCUGAUACUCGAUGAAUAAUGGUUUGAGUCCUGCGGUUAACUUUCAAGUCUUCCAGAGGAUUGUCAACAACAAACAAGGCUUAUUGAAUUCCAUCUUGCUAUGCAAGUUUUGUCAGAUGAUCAAAUAGUAGAUCGGAUGCAUCCCCAUUGUAUGUAUGACAUUUUCAGAUCAAGUCUUAAACUUUUUGAAUACAUUGUAGUAGCUAAUUCAGGGGAGGGGAAAGGAUGACCCAGGUUUAGAUUGACUAUUUUUGAGCUACGGGGCUCGUUUUGAAAGACUGUUGUCCAGAUAAGCUGUUGCUGCAGAUAAAAGUUUCUUACAAAUCCAAGUUGUACUUUCACUCAUAGCCUAAUUUAAAAGUCAGAUUUUUUGCAUAGGAGCAGAAACCUUUUGCUGAGCACAGAAGGUGGACUCUAACCUUUGGACCACAGUGACAGCUCUGGUGAGAGUUAGAGGAUAUGGAUUUGUCAAGCCAUAGAAAGAAAACCUAAAUUCUAGUGAGCGUAUGACCUCUCACCGUUUUAAGAGGUACCAGAUUCAUUUGCACUAUUAGGAAUGCUAGUUUUGUGCAAAAAUAAUGCCUUACCUGUUUCCCCCCCACAUUUAGGUUGAAAAGCUUUCAAACGUUUCAAGUUAUGCUGAACCAAAAAAACAACAAAAACAACAUAAGACAAAAAAAUUAAAAAAAAAUAGCCCAAGGAAAACAAGACACACAAAAGAUAAAAAGCCCACUUUUUAUUUCUGCUUUGAAAUGCAAAUGGCUAGAGCACGGUUUCUCCGGUGUAAUGAUAGCUUUGUAGGUCAGUUUUCUGUCCUGUGGGGAUGUCUGCGAGGCCACCAUCAGCAGCAACCCGCUCCCCACCCCCACCCUGGCCCCCCAUGUACACUUCUUAGUGUGGGACCUACCAUUUGCUCUUUUCUUUCUUUUUUUUUUUUAAGCUUUAUCUUUCCUUGUGCACCCUGACCAAGAAGUAUCUUUGAUUAUGAUCAAUGUAUUUUGUCAAAAUGUAGGCUAGUUAAACUUUUGUAAAGUUGCCUGGAAUGUCAUUUGUUAGGUUAUAAACACAAAAUCUCGAUGAAGGGUUAUAUGUGUUGUGUACAAAUCUUAAUUAUUUUCAAAUGGACAAACUUGUCAUUACAUUUGUAACCUUGUACAGAAGAUUUUUCACUAUGUGCCUAGCUUGGUGUCCAUUCAACUAAAAUUGAAAAAAAAAAAAGGUGCAUGAAGAGUUACAAAUCAGAAAUUAAACAAAGUAUAUGUAGAGAUGACUAUUUUAUAUGACAUGGCCCAAUCCUGUAUUUAUUUCUACCCCCUUUUUGAAAGUAUUUAUAAAACUAGUUGAGGACAGCUGUAUUUUUUUGUUGAACUAUUUAGUAGAAUUUGUGCCUUUUUGUCUGUAUGUGAAUAAAUGCUGUACAUUUUGCAAUACA